rnacentral:lncRNA from 10 species
AGCCUGAAUAGAGGAAGGAAAAGCAUGUGGAAGCUGGAUAGAGUGAAAGAACUUGUGCUUUGGGGCGAGAGAGUCUGUGUCCCAUCCUGGAUCAUUCCCUGACCACAUGGCCUUAGAUCCUGCCUGUCCUCCAUUAGAGAUUCCUGUGAUAGCUACAUGAGGACUCUCAACAGGAAUAUCCACCCCGACAUCCCCAUCCACAACCCUUUGAAGAAGCAACCCAAGAGAGGUAAAAAGGCACAGACUUUUCUUCCAAUCUCUUGCCGGUGCCUUCUACUGGCCAAACCCAAUAGAAAAAUGGAGGAUCAGAGAAUUGUUUACGCAGUUUAUAUGCAUCAGCUCCCCUGAGGCACCAGGUGGAGUUUCCCUGAACAAGCGCUCUCUUUGCCUGCCACCAUCCACGUAAGACGUGACUUGCUCCUCCUUGCCUUCUGCCAUGAUUGUGAGGCCUCUUCAGCCAUGUGGACACAGUAGUAAGGACACAUUCAUAACCACAUAAGGAAUACUUUUCUCCACUAGAUCAAAAGGAAAUCUCUUGAAAAGAAAGCUGUAGCUGUACAUAAUACAUAUACUGGGUAUCUUCCAUUCUACUUGCCAUACUCUGCACCCUGCUCUGUGCCUUGGGAGGCUAACCUGAAUCAACUGCAUCAACAGGACUUUCACACCUUCUGGGCCCUGGUUGGAUUCAGCCAAUGUGUUAAAACAAACUGGGAUCCAGAGACAUGAAGGGCCUUGCAUACAGUAAGCAUUCACUAAUAUAAAGGCACUUCCUGAUGAUUGUCCAAGUCCCUGGCUAAUUGUUCAUGUCUGCCCUCUGUCAGGACUGCCUGGCACUGCCUGAACUGGUCUCCUCCUUUGACAUCUGCGAGCCCCACUUGGCCCAGGUACCCCUGCCUUGGGACCGUAACCCAUUCACUUAUUGAAUUGCCAGCAUGGUACAUUUCCCACCUUGGCCCUGGUGCAGGCUGGCCCACUCCAUGACCUCCACCACGUGGACAAAAACCCUCAGAAGGUGCAGGAAUGUAGGGGUGGGCUUCAUUAGGCCCCAGGCACCUGUGGGGAGAGGCCACUGGCUACUGCUGGAAGGAACGUAGGGAAUCAUCUACAGUCCAACUCAUGUAAGAACACUUUACAUGAGAUCUACCUUCUUAAAUUGUAAGUGCACACUACAGUAUUGUUAACUAUAUGCCCAAUGUUGUACAGAUCUCUAGAACUUGUUCCUCUUGUAUAAUUGAAACAGUAUACCUAUUGAACAGCAACUCUCAAUUUUCCCUUACCCUGACCCCUGCCAACCACCAUUCAACUCUCUGUUUCUAUGAGUCUAUUUUAGAUACCUCAUAUAAGUAAAGUCAUG